rnacentral:rRNA from 1 species
AGUGAACGCUGGCGGUAGGCCUAACACAUGCAAGUCGAACGGCAGCACAGUAAGAGCUUGCUCUUACGGGUGGCGAGUGGCGGACGGGUGAGGAAUACAUCGGAAUCUACUUUUUCGUGGGGGAUAACGUAGGGAAACUUACGCUAAUACCGCAUACGACCUACGGGUGAAAGCAGGGGAUCUUCGGACCUUGCGCGAUUGAAUGAGCCGAUGUGGGAUUAGCUAGUUGGCGGGGUAAAGGCCCACCAAGGCGACGAUCCGUAGCUGGUCUGAGAGGAUGAUCAGCCACACUGGAACUGGGACACGGUCCAGACUCCUACGGGAGGCAGCAGUGGGGAAUAGUGGACAAAGGGCGCAAGCCUGAUCCAGCCAUACCGCGUGGGUGAAGAAGGCCUUCGGGUUGGAAAGCCCUUUUGUUGGGAAAGAAAAGCAGCAGGUUAAUACCCCGCUGUUCUGACGGUACCCAAAGAAUAAGCACCGGCUAACUUCGUG